AUGAUGGGUAAUACUGUAUAAUCCCUGCGGGGGAAAGAUUUAUCGCUAUUAGAUGAGCCUACGUUAGAUUAGCUAGUUGGUAAGGUAAUGGCUUACCAAGGCUAUGAUCUAUAGCUGGUCUGAGAGGACGAUCAGCCACACUGGAACUGAGAUACGGUCCAGACUCCUACGGGAGGCAGCAGUGGGGAAUAUUGGACAAUGGGCGAAAGCCUGAUCCAGCUAUGCCGCGUGAGUGAAGAAGGCCUUCGGGUUGUAAAGCUCUUUCAAUAGGGAAGAUAAUGACGGUACCUAUAGAAGAAGUCCCGGCAAACUCCGUGCCAGCAGCCGCGGUAAUACGGAGGGGGCAAGCGUUGUUCGGAAUUAUUGGGCGUAAAGGGCACGUAGGUGGACUAGUAAGUUAAAAGUGAAAUACCAAAGCUUAACUUUGGAGCUGCUUUUAAUACUGCUAGACUAGAGGUCGAAAGAGGAUAGCGGAAUUCCUAGUGUAGAGGUGAAAUUCGUAGAUAUUAGGAGGAACACCAGUGGCGAAGGCGGCUAUCUGGUUCGAUACUGACACUGAGGUGCGAAAGCGUGGGGAGCAAACAGGAUUAGAUACCCUGGUAGUCCACGCUGUAAACGAUGAGUGCUAAAUGUGAGGAUUUUAUCUUUGUAUUGUAGCUAACGCGUUAAGCACUCCGCCUGGGGACUACGGUCGCAAGACUAAAACUCAAAGGAAUUGACGGGGACCCGCACAAGCGGUGGAGCAUGUGGUUUAAUUCGAUGCUACGCGAAAAACCUUACCACUUUUUGACAUGAAGGUCGUAUCCCUCCUAACAGGGGGAGUCAGUUCGGCUGGACCUUACACAGGUGCUGCAUGGUUGUCGUCAGCUCGUGUCGUGAGAUGUUGGGUUAAGUCCCGCAACGAGCGCAACCCUCAUCCUUAGUUACCAACAGGUAAUGCUGGGCACUCUAAGGAAACUGCCAGUGAUAAACUGGAGGAAGGUGGGGAUGAUGUCAAAUCAGCACGGCCCUUAUAAGGUGGGCUACACACGUGCUACAAUGGCAACUACAAUAGGUUGCGAGACCGCAAGGUUUAGCUAAUCCAUAAAAGUUGUCUCAGUUCGGAUUGUUCUCUGCAACUCGAGAGCAUGAAGUCGGAAUCGCUAGUAAUCGUGGAUCAUCACGCCACGGUGAAUACGUUCUCGGGUCUUGUACACACUGCCCGUCACGCCAUGGGAAUUGGCUUAACUCGAAGCUGGUGUGCUAACCGCAAGGAAGCA
rnacentral:rRNA from 1 species